ACGGAAGGCAGCAGUAGGGAAUAUUGCACAAUGGGGGAAACCCUGAUGCAGCAACGCCACGUGUGGGAAGAAGCAUUUCGGUGUGUAAACCACUGUCGUGAGGGAAUAAUGCUGGGUUUCGGCCAAGUUGAAUGUACCUCGAAAGGAAGCACCGGCAAACUUCGUGCCAGCAGCCGCGGUAAUACGAGGGGUGCAAGCGUUGUUCGGAAUCACUGGGCGUAAAGGGAGCGCAGGCGGAGAUGCAAGCGGACUGUACAAUACCGGGGCCCAACCCCGGACCUGCAGUCCGGACUGUACCUCUUGGAUAGUUCAGGGGCAAGCGGAAUUCCUGGUGUAGCGGUGGAAUGCGUAGAGAUCAGGAAGAACACCGAUGGCGAAGGCAGCUUGCUGGGGACUUAUCGACGCUCAUGCUCGAAAGUGCGGGUAGCAAACAGGAUUAGAUACCCUGGUA
rnacentral:rRNA from 1 species